rnacentral:rRNA from 1 species
AGUAAUGUAUGGGGAGUCCGCCCGAUAGAGGGGGAUAACUACUGGAAACGGUGGCUAAUACCGCAUAAUGUCUACGGACCAAAGCAGGGGCUCUUCGGACCUUGCACUAUCGGAUGAACCCAUAUGGGAUUAGCUAGUAGGUGGGGUAAAGGCUCACCUAGGCGACGAUCUCUAGCUGGUCUGAGAGGAUGAUCAGCCACACUGGGACUGAGACACGGCCCAG